AGUCGAGCGAGAAAGGUCUUCGGACUGAGUAGAGCGGCGGACGGGUGAGUAACGCGUAGAUAUCUACCUGGUAGUGGGGGACAACCUGGUGAAAACCAGGCUAAUACCGCAUACGCCCUACGGGGGAAAGCGGGGGAUCUUCGGACCUCGCGCUAUCAGAUGAGUCUGCGUUGGAUUAGCUAGUUGGUGGGGUAAAAGCCUACCAAGGCGACGAUCCAUAGCUGGUCUGAGAGGACGAUCAGCCACACUGGGACUGAGACACGGCCCAGACUCCUACGGGAGGCAGCAGUGGGGAAUAUUGCACAAUGGGCGAAAGCCUGAUGCAGCCAUGCCGCGUGUGUGAAGAAGGCUCUAGGGUUGUAAAGCACUUUCAAUUGGGAGAAAAAGUUAAUGGUUAAUAGCCAUUAGCCUUGAUGUUACCUUUAGAAGAAGCACCGGCUAACUCCGUGCCAGCAGCCGCGGUAAU
rnacentral:rRNA from 1 species